rnacentral:rRNA from 1 species
GAUGAACGCUAGCUACAGGCUUAACACAUGCAAGUCGAGGGGAAACGAUAUUGGAAGCUUGCUUUUUCUAGGCGUCGACCGGCGCACGGGUGAGUAACGCGUAUCCAACCUGCCCAUCACUUGGGGAUAACCUUGCGAAAGUAAGACUAAUACCCAAUGAUAUCUCUAGAAGACAUCUGAAAGAGAUUAAAGAUUUAUCGGUGAUGGAUGGGGAUGCGUCUGAUCAGCUUGUUGGCGGGGUAACGGCCCACCAAGGCGACGAUCAGUAGGGGUUCUGAGAGGAAGGUCCCCCANAUUGGAACUGAGACACGGUCCAAACUCCUACGGGAGGCAGCAGUGAGGAAUAUUGGUCAAAUGGGACGAGAGUCUGAACCAGCCAAGUAGCGUGCAGGAUGACGGCCCUAUGGGUUGUAAACUGCUUUUAUAAGGGAAUAAAGUGAGUCUCGUGAGGCUUUUUGCAUGUACCUUAUGAAUAAGGACCGGCUAAUUCCGU